rnacentral:rRNA from 1 species
AUUGAACGCUGGCGGCGUGCUUAACACAUGCAAGUCGUGCGGUAACAGGCGUAGCAAUACGUGCUGACGAGCGGCGAACGGGUGCGUAAUACAUGGGAAUCUGCCUUUUAGUGGGGAAUAACCCGGCGAAAGCCGGGCUAAUGCCGCAUAAGAUCUUCGGAUGAAAGCGGGGGAUCGUAAGACCUCGCGCUGAUAGAUGAGCCCAUGCCGGAUUAGCUAGUGGUGAGGUAACGGCUCACCAAGGCGACGAUCCGUAGCUGGUCUGAGAGGACGGCCAGCCACACUGGGACUGAGACACGGCCCAGACUCCUACGGGAGGCAGCAGUGGGGAAUAUUGGACAAUGGGGGAAACCCUGAUCCAGCGACGCCGCGUGUGUGAAGAAGGCCUGCGGGUUGUAAAGCACUUUC